GUUUGAAAUAAUUAGUUAAGACCUGAAAUGAAUUAAUUGAUUUGAUUUUUUUUUGACAGUGCACCCAGAGAAAAGUCUCAGAAAGCUAUCCAGGAUGAAAUCCGUUCAGUGAUCAGACAGAUCACAGCUACAGUGACAUUUCUGCCACUGUUGGAAGUUUCUUGUUCAUUUGAUCUGCUGAUUUAUACAGACAAAGAUUUGGUUGUACCUGAAAAAUGGGAAGAGUCGGGACCACAGUUUAUUACCAAUUCUGAGGAAGUCCGCCUUCGUUCAUUUACUACUACAAUCCACAAAGUAAAUAGCAUGGUGGCCUACAAAAUUCCUGUCAAUGACUGAGGAUGACAUGAGGAAAAUAAUGUAAUUGUAAUUUUGAAAUGUGGUUUUCCUGAAAUCAAGUCAUCUAUAGUUGAUAUGUUUUAUUUCAUUGGUUAAUUUUUACAUGGAGAAAACCAAAAUGAUACUUACUGAACUGUGUGUAAUUGUUCCUUUUAUUUUUUUGGUACCUAUUUGACUUACCAUGGAGUUAACAUCAUGAAUUUAUUGCACAUUGUUCAAAAGGAACCAGGAGGUUUUUUUGUCAACAUUGUGAUGUAUAUUCCUUUGAAGAUAGUAACUGUAGAUGGAAA
rnacentral:sRNA from 1 species